UACGUAGGGUGCGAGCGUUGUCCGGAAUUACUGGGCGUAAAGAGCUCGUAGGUGGUUUGUCGCGUUGUUCGUGAAAACCGGGGGCUUAACCCUCGGCGUGCGGGCGAUACGGGCAGACUUGAGUACUGCAGGGGAGACUGGAAUUCCUGGUGUAGCGGUGGAAUGCGCAGAUAUCAGGAGGAACACCGGUGGCGAAGGCGGGUCUCUGGGCAAUUCCUGACGCUGAGGCGCGAAAGCGUGGGGAGCAAACGGG
rnacentral:rRNA from 1 species